UGGCGGCAGGCUUAACACAUGCAAGUCGAGCGGUAGCAGAUCUAGCUUGCUGGAUGCUGACGAGCGGCGGACGGGUGAGUAACGCGUAGGAACCUGCCCAGUAGUGGGGGAUAGCCCGGGGAAACUCGGAUUAAUACCGCAUACGCUCUACGGAGGAAAGAGGGGGCUUCGGCUCUCGCUAUUGGAUGGGCCUGCGUGAGAUUAGCUAGUUGGUGAGGUAAUGGCUCACCAAGGCGACGAUCUCUAGCUGGUCUGAGAGGAUGAUCAGCCACACUGGGACUGAGACACGGCCCAGACUCCUACGGGAGGCAGCAGUGGGGAAUAUUGCACAAUGGGCGCAAGCCUGAUGCAGCCAUGCCGCGUGUGUGAAGAAGGCUUUCGGGUUGUAAAGCACUUUCAGUGGGGAGGAAGGCCUCGUAGUUAAUAGCUGCGAGGAUUGACGUUACCCACAGAAGAAGCACCGGCUAACUCCGUG
rnacentral:rRNA from 1 species